GAUGAACGCUGGCGGCGUGCCUAAUACAUGCAAGUCGAGCGAACAGACGCGGAGUUUGCCCCUUUGACGUUAGCGGCGGACGGGUGAGUAACACGUGGAUAACCUCCCUAUAAGACUGGGAUAACUUCGGGAAACCGGAGCUAAUACCGGAUAAUAUAUUGAACCGCAUGGUUCAAUAGUGAGAGUCGGUUUUGCUGUCACUUAUAGAUGCAUCCGGGCCGGAUUAGCUAGUUGUUAAGGUAACGGCUUACCACGGCGACGAUGCGUAGCCGACCGCAGAGGGGGAUCGGCCACACGGGAACGUGGACACGGACCAUACGCCUACGGGAGGCAGCAGUAGGGAACCGUCGGCAAUGGGCGAAAGCCUGGCGGAGCAACGGCGCGUGAGUUACGAAAGUCUUCGGAGCGUAAAACUCUGUUAUUAGGGAAAAACAAAUGUGUAAGUAACUAAGCAGGGCUUGACGGUACCGAAUCAGAAAGCCACGGCUAACUACGUG
rnacentral:rRNA from 1 species